GAUGAACGCUGGCGGCGUGCCUAAUACAUGCAAGUCGAGCGAACGGACGAGAAGCUUGCUUCUCUGAUGUUAGCGGCGGACGUGUGAGUAACACGUGGAUAACCUACCUAUAAGACUGGGAUAACUUCGGGAAACCGGAGCUAAUACCGGAUAAUAUUUUGAACCGCAUGGUUCAAAAGUUAAAUACGGUCUUGCUGUCACUUAUAGAUGUAUCCGCGCUGCAUUAUCUAGUUGGUAAGGUAGCGGCUUACCAAGGCAACGAUGCAUAUCCGACGUGAGAGGGGGAUAGGCAAAACAGGAACUGAGAAACGGAACAGAAAACGAGGGGAGGAAGAAGUAGGGAAGGUGCAGAAAAGGGCGAAAGACUGACGGAGAAACGCCGGGUGAGUGAAGAAGGUCUUCGGAUCGUAAAAAGCUGUUAUUAGGGAAGAACAUAUGUGUAAGUAACUGUGAAAAUAUGGACGGUACCAAAUAAGAAAGCCACGGCUAACUACGU
rnacentral:rRNA from 1 species